CACAGUUAAAAGACUUUGAAACAUCAAGUUUUUGUAGUCCAGCUGCAGCUCGUGAUCUGCCGGGAUUUUCCCAAUUUGUUCUACAGUUCUCCAUCGAAAUGUCAAAGGAUUUUGCCACAAGAUCACUUUACAUGAGUGAAGAAACUCCACUAACAAAUAAGACUAAUACAGAUGGAACAUUAACGAAUGGGGCUGAUACAGAUGAAACAGCUGGCUUAACCCAGUUCCAGUUAAAACGACGCUGGGAAUCAAGUCCGCAUCCAUAUAUAUUCUUUAAUCCUGAUCAUCACUCCAUGACCUUCCUAGGAUUUAAUAUUGAGAGACAUUCAGGAAAUCUGAUUGAUCAACAGACAGGUCGUAUUCUCAAAGCUAAUCUGAUGUCCAGAGAUCUUUAUCGCCGUUUAUACCAGAAUAGAGUCAACUUGAAUGAAAAUUUCAAUGAUUUGAAAAGGUGAUUAUUAGCUCAUUAAUUUAUGAAAGAUAGGGGAUCAGCCCCUAGAAUGUGUUGCUGGAAAAUGUGUUGUGGUGGUUUCCCGUUGAGUUGAUUGUAAUGAAUGAUAUCCUAAAAGUUUACCAAAGUACCAAAAAGUCUCAAAUUUUGAGGGAAAUGCUAAAGUUUUAGUCAUUUUCCUUUUAAACAAACAUAAAUUCAUCAAUUUAAAAAACAAAAACAAAUGUAAACAAGUAAACAGUGAGGCUGAU